rnacentral:rRNA from 1 species
UACGAAGGGGGCUAGCGUUGUUCGGAAUUACUGGGCGUAAAGCGCACGUAGGCGGAAUAUUUGAAGUCAGGGGUGAAAUCCCAGAGCUCAACUCUGGAACUGCCUUUGAUACUGGGUGUCUUGAGUAUGGAAGAGGUGAGUGGAAUUCCGAGUGUAGAGGUGAAAUUUCGUAGAUAUUCGGAGGAACACCAGUGGGCGAAGGCGGCUCACUGGUCCAUUACUGACGCUGAGGUGCGAA